rnacentral:lncRNA from 1 species
GUUUACCUUGAUUUUAUAUAUAUGAAUGGGUUAAUGUAACCACCAAUCCCAAUAACAUAUAGAAAACCAUAGAAAAGUCCUUAACCUUUCCUUCUUGCCUAAUAGAAAAACCCAUUUCUGGGUGAAAAUAUCGAUAAAACAGUGAAAUAAUGAAAUAGAAAAUGUCCGUUCUCUGCCUUUAGUAGAUGCUCCAGGCCAGGUAAGCAAAUCAAUAACCUUUUCUUCUCCACCUCAGGCCAGUCCCCCUUGCCCAGAAGCAGCAGCAUCAAUGACAAACUUUCCUUAUAUGCCUCUGGUGAGUAUUCCCUACAAGCAACCAGCAGCACCAUUGGUGAUCUUUCCAUCUCUACCUCCAUGGAGCACAGUGAAGAAGCAGUCAGUAGCAGCACUAGCAAACUCCCCAUUUCAUCCUCUGCUAAUCUCGCUAGUCGACCUUCAAUUAAUGGAAAAGUUUUUACAAUAACUUCACUCUCCUCAGUGGUCUCUCAACAGGGCUUUGAUGAGAUUGCUAAUAAUGUCACAGAUGAGAAAAGAAAAUCUCUUCAGAAACAAGGAGUGCUAGAGACCAACAUGGAAUUGCAGGAGCAUGAUUAUCAAAGGGAAGAACAUGGAAGUCAUGAAGAGGGC